rnacentral:rRNA from 1 species
AUUGAACGCUGGCGGAAUGCUUUACACAUGCAAGUCGAACGGCAGCACGGACUUCGGUCUGGUGGCGAGUGGCGAACGGGUGAGUAAUACAUCGGAACGUGCCCAAUCGUGGGGGAUAACGUAGCGAAAGCUACGCUAAUACCGCAUACGAUCUAAGGAUGAAAGCGGGGGAUCGCAAGACCUCGCGCGAUUGGAGCGGCCGAUGGCAGAUUAGGUAGUUGGUAGGGUAAAGGCCUACCAAGCCGACGAUCUGUAGCUGGUCUGAGAGGAUGAUCAGCCACACUGGGACUGAGACACGGCCCAGACUCCUACGGGAGGCAGCAGUGGGGAAUUUUGGACAAUGGACGCAAGUCUGAUCCAGCCAUUCCGCGUGCAGGAUGAAGGCCCUCGGGUUGUAAACUGCUUUUGUACGGAGCGAAAAGGCCCUCUCUAAUACAGUGGGCUCAUGACGGUACCGUAAGAAUAAGCACCGGCUAACUACGUGCCAGCCGCCGCGGUAA